AAAGUUGUUAAUGCAGUUGUUAAAUAAUAUGGUCAGGAAUUUCAACGAUGUUUCAGGAAGCUUUCUCAGUAUAAAGUUUGAGACCCCGUCAAUAGCAUACGAUUUUAUAUUGUCUAACGGCACCUCAGGUAUGCUCUCGCUGUAGACUCUCCUGUAAUAACUACUGCAAUGCUGUCAUCAUCAGAGAUAGAAAUGUCGUUGACAAUAAUUUCCUUACAAAAGGACGACUUCUUAUUGCCUAUCGCCUGGUAAAUUUGCUUAAAGGCUGUCGGGCCUGGUCUUAUUUUUUGAAGUUUGCUGUUGAAUAUCUUGCCUUGUUCUAUGUUUACAAGCUCUUUUAUAAUAGUUUUUAAAAGCUGUAUUUGCUAGUACGAUGAAAAAUUGAAUUACUAGUACGAAUGAAAAAUUGAAGAACUUCUUAAUAUUUUCUGAAAUAGGAACUUUGUUUUUUCUAAUUUCAAUCCUUUCAGAGUUUAAAUUAUGUACUGAAGUAAGAAUAGAGUUGAACGACGAUAUCAAAGAAUCAAUUUCAUUAUUGUGAAGAUUUUUAUAUUCUGAAGGCAUGAUGUCUAUACAGGCAGAUUCUAGAUGGUGGCGAAAACUAUUCCAGUUUAUAUUUUUAUAGGAUGUAAAAAAACGUGGAUGUUACCAUUUGCAUUAGCCAAUAGAUCUCCCCAUAAGGGAUUUUUAGCAUUCAAGUCUCCUCCAAAUACGAACCCGUCGAAUUCGCUAGCCACUUGCAGGAUUUUUGAUAGACCAUUACAUAAGGCGGUUACAGGAAAGUUUCCGGGAAUAUAAACUGAUCCAAUUAAAUAUUUUUUCAGUAUAUUAUUCGAAUUGAAUUUUAAUUUGAAUAAAAUUACCUGUGUCGUUAAUGUUUAUACAACUAUAAGAUAUAUUGUCUUUUAAAACAAUUGCUACUCCAAUGGGGGAGUGGUCAUAUAUAAAAUUAUAUCCUUUCAGAUGUAUUUUUUUGUGACGAUUUAAACGGCAUUCUUGUAUGAAGCCAAUGUCAAUUUUGUUGUAAUAUAGAGUGUUGUAUAGAUCAAUUUGACGACUUGUAUCCACAAGUGAUCUUACAUUAAAAGUCAAAAAAUUAAGAAAUCUAUGGCCCAUAAAUACUUUUAACUUUAGAAUGUAGACAUAAGAAAACUUUUUUUCCCUCAUGCUUUGACAUAUUUUUGUGCUCGGUUAGAAAUGUAUUUAUCUCUUGCUCCAGCGUUAAUUCCUCUGGUUUCAAAAAUUAUUUGCAAGUUUCAAGAAUUCGUCCACAAUAGGUGAUUUUUGUUUAUAUGUAGGUGCAGCUUCAAGUGGUUGCGUCCUUAACAGACUUGCAAAUGACCUACCAGGUUAAACUAAACUUGUAUUGAUUACACUAUUAACUUUAGUUUUUGCAGUAUUCCGGACUUCCUAUGCCUUUAGAAUACGUUCUUUCUUGCCAGACAGAUAUAUUUUAUAUGCUGUGCAACCCCACCAGUUUGCCGGGUGACCAGAAUUGCCACAAUUCACGCAACAAGUAUCCGUGUUUGUAGAAUCAUUGCGGGGACAAGAGCCUGGUAAGUGAGAAUCACUUAACGCAUUUAAAAUCUGAAUUACAGUUCCAAGAUAUAUGUCCCCAUUGGAUAUCCUUUUUUUUGGCUUUUUCCACACAAUGGAUUGAUUUAGCAAGUACUUAAUGUUGGAUAUGUCUCCCAAUUUUUGCCUGGAAUCAAAGUUAUUAGAAAUAAACCAGUUUCCAUUUUGUUUAUCCUUGAAAAGGAUGUUGAAAAUUUUGAUACCUUAGAUACAGUACCGGGGACCUGAAUGUCCAAAUCUUUCCUAAUACUCCUUUGAAGUAAAUGAGUAUGAACUAAUUUUCUUCUCUCUUAAAAGAGACACCAUUUCCGCAUAAACUGAAGCAUCAGACAAGUGACUUAGCCUCCAGUUGAUCACAAAGGUGCUGUACGUUCACAUUGUAAGGAAAUAUUGGCGGCCAGAAGGAUUUACCAGGAGGUUCCACAUUGGAAGUUUUAUCUUUCGCCGCAUUCCUUAUGAUCUUAUUAUAACCAACCGAAUCAUCGUCAUUGUGGUGUAUCUAAAGAUUAGCAAGGUAUGAAAAUCUAUUUUGUUGAUUCGGAUCAAAGCUAACAGAAACAUUUCCGUUCAAACGUGAGGCGCAAUCAGUUCCCGGUGAAGCUCCACCACCGUCCAUCCAUGGUCUUUUACCACUAUUUUCGUCAUUGUCGCCGGGGGGAUGUGUACAACAAUGGCCGGCGUCGUCAACAUCAGUGUCCAUUCUAGAGUUAACACUCUAUCCUUCACCCAAACACAAUAGCCAGUAUAUCCAACUAUCAGUACACUGAUCCACAGUCGAAUCUCCAAAAAAUAAGCAAGAGCUCCCAAAAAAUAAAAUAAAUGCAAAUAGAGAAAAAAUAUUCCAUCAACCAUUCAA